AUGGUGACCGAACUGUACAAUGC
rnacentral:siRNA from 1 species